rnacentral:rRNA from 1 species
UUGACGGGGGCCCGCACAAGCGGAGGAGCAUGUGGUUUAAUUCGAUGAUACGCGAGGAACCUUACCUGGGCUCGAACGUAAGAUGACUGUAGGUGAAAGCUUACAUCUCUUCGGAGCAUUUUACGAGGUGCUGCAUGGUUGUCGUCAGCUCGUGCCGUGAGGUGUCGGGUUAAGUCCCAUAACGAGCGCAACCCCUACCUUUAGUUGCCAUCAGGUAAUGCUGGGGACUCUAAAGGAACUGCCUACGCAAGUAGUGAGGAAGGCGGGGAUGACGUCAAAUCAGCAUGGCCCUUACGUCCAGGGCUACACACGUGCUACAAUGGCCGAUACAGAGGGCAGCUACCUGGUGACAGGAUGCAAAUCUCCAAAGUCGGUCUCAGUUCGGAUCGGAGUCUGCAACCCGACUCCGUGAAGUUGGAUUCGCUAGUAAUCGCGCAUCAGCCAUGGCGCGGUGAAUACGUUCCCGGGCCUU